rnacentral:lncRNA from 1 species
CUCUAAGUUCUUUGCCUUCCCGUUUUAGCUUGGCUGCUUCUGCGGUUUGGCAUUGCAAGCUCACUCCACCAGUUUACCGCUUUGGAUAUUGCUCCUAAUCUAUUUCCGACCAAGCCUUUUUCCCAGAUCUCACUUAGUCUCCUCUAUUCGCGUUUCUUUGUCUUUGUGAUUCUCCUUUGCUAAAUAUCUUUGUUUAUGCUUUUCAUCGCCGCUCUAGUAUUUAUGUCUCUCU